AUGCGCAUGUAUACAUCUGACCAAAGGAAGCAUAACCACUCCAUUAAGUUAGUCAUGUCCAAGCACCUUAAACUUUCCAAAAUAUAUAAGAAAAAUAAAUCACAUACAAAAUUUAUACAGUGCGGUAGACGUCAGCAGGGGAGUGCGCAGGGUCCACCUCCGGCAGCAAGUGGGAGGACUGCUCCCCAGCCUACUGCGCCGCGUCAAGCCCCGCCGCCCGUGGCCAUGCCUCCACCGACCGCUCCGCCUGCUCCACCUGCACCACCCACCCAGAUCCUCGACGAGAGAUACAGAGACAUGAUAUGUUUCACAUGUGGAGGGGACCUAGGCAUUAUGUUAACUGCAUAG
rnacentral:rRNA from 1 species